rnacentral:rRNA from 1 species
GAUGAACGCUGGCGGCGUGCUUAACACAUGCAAGUCGAACGGAAAGGCCGAAGCUUGCUUCGGUACUCGAGUGGCGAACGGGUGAGUAACACGGGGGGGAUCUGCCCUUUACUUCGGGAUAAGCUUGGGAAACGGGGCCAAAUACCGGAAAUGACGAUCUCUUGGAGGGGGUUGUGGAAAGUUUUGCGGUAUGGGGUGAGCUCGCGGCCUAUCAGCUUGUUGGUGGGGUAAUGGCCUACCAAGGCGUCGACGGGUAGCCGGCCUGAGAGGGUGUACGGCCACAUUGGGACUGAGAUACGGCCCAGACUCCUACGGGAGGCAGCAGUGGGGAAUAUUGCACAAUGGGCGCAAGCCUGAUGCAGCGACGCCGCGUGGGGGAUGACGGCCUUCGGGUUGUAAACUCCUUUCGCAAUCGACGAAGCCUUUUGGUGACGGUAGGUUGAGAAGAAGCACCGGCUAACUACGUG